CAAUGGUAUAACUCCUCGCAGAUUGCUUUGAUUUUGUAGCCCUGAACUCAGCCACAUCAUCACCAAACGGUUAAAAAAUGAUCAAUGGGUGACCAACCUUGACCUACUUGUAGAUCUUCAGAAAACUUCCAAGCUGAGUGGGAAUCAGCCAAGAUGGCUGACAAGCAGCGAUUAGCUCAGUUCAUAUUUCAAGUGACAGGUGUAAGCAUUGACCCAAAUAGCCUCUUUGACUUACAGUUCUAGCGGAUCCAUGAAUAUAAAAGACAGCUGCUAAAUAUUCUGGGUGUGGUCUAUAGGUACAAGAAGUUAAAAGGUACAAGAAGUUAAAGAUUGGAUUGGGGUGGCGUUUUUGACGUGCAACAAUGAUGUAAUUUGCUUGAAUGUUCAUUUUGUUUGAUAAGGAUACACAUACUUUGUGGAGUUGCACUAGUUAUUGUUGGAUGUUUGGUAGAAUUGUAUAAGUUAUAACUUUUAGAUAUUUUGUGGAUAUUGCACUAUUUUAUUGUAUUAGGAUGAAAUUAUUUGUAAUGAUGAAUGGAUAUUUUCAUUUUGUUAAUUCGUAAAUGUGUUGAUAAC